ACAUAUCUGUGUGAAUCAGAAAAAUGGCUUCUAAGACGUGUUUAUCACAAUGGGCGGUUCUCUUCAUUGUAAUAUUGCUCCUCUUAUCUUCGGCGAUGGCAUCAAGGGAUGUCGUCACAAGGUCUUCCACGCUUCAUUCAUCUUAUGAAAAGGGUAGGGGUCUCGCAUCUAAACCUGCCAGAGAUGAUCCCUGGGACCACAAUUAUCGUUCAGGUCUGGGCAGUAGACGGAUGUUCCUGUAGGACACAAUUAUGCCAAAAAUAAACCAGGUUGCAUGUAAUCGCUUCUAAAUGAUGGAAAAUGUUAUUUUAGUGUAUGAAAUUAAAAUUAUGUAGUUACUUUGCUCUGGCAGUUCCUGUGUUUCAAUGCUUAAGCCUUGAGGCCUUUUAGCUCAACAUGUGGAUGUUCGGGGCAUUUGUUGCGACGUUCCGAAAUCGAGAUAUAAUACGAUAAUAUUAUCUUGAUGUAAUGUUUCAAAGUGAUACGAAAUUUUUCUAUCUAUUAUUCAUA